rnacentral:rRNA from 1 species
AUUGAACGCUGGCGGCAUGCCUUACACAUGCAAGUCGAACGGUAACAGGUCUUCGGAUGCUGACGAGUGGCGAACGGGUGAGUAAUACAUCGGAACGUGCCUAGUAGUGGGGGAUAACUACUCGAAAGAGUGGCUAAUACCGCAUGAGAUCUACGGAUGAAAGCAGGGGAUCGCAAGACCUUGUGCUACUAGAGCGGCCGAUGGCAGAUUAGGUAGUUGGUGGGAUAAAAACUUACCAAGCCGACGAUCUGUAGCUGGUCUGAGAGGACGAUCAGCCACACUGGGACUGAGACACGGCCCAGACUCCUACGGGAGGCAGCAGUGGGGAAUUUUGGACAAUGGGCGCAAGCCUGGUCCAGCAAUGCCGCGUGCAGGAUGAAGGCCUUCGGGUUGUAAACUGCUUUUGUACGGAACGAAAAGCCCUGGGUUAAUACCCUGGGGUCAUGACGGUACCGUAAGAAUAAGCACCGGCUAACUACGUGCCAGCCGCCGCGGUAACAC